UGGCCUACGGGACGCAGCAGUAGGGAAUUUUCGUCAAUGGGCGCAAGCCUGAACGAGCAAUGCCGCGUGAACGAGGAAGGUCUUCGGAUCGUAAAGUUCUGUUGAAGGGGAAAAAGAGCGGAGAGAGGAAAUGGUCUCCGAUUGAUAUUACCCUUCGAGGAAGUCACGGCUAACUACGUGCCAGCAGCCGCGGUAAUACGUAGGGAGCGAGCGUUAUCCGGAUUUAUUGGGUGUAAAGGGUGCGUAGACGGGAAAAUAAGUUAGUUGUGAAAUCCCUCGGCUCAACUGAGGAACUGCAACUAAAA
rnacentral:rRNA from 1 species